AACGUAGGGGGCGAGUGUUAUCCGGAAUUACUGGGCGUAAAGGGCGUGUAGGCGGUUAGGUGUAUCGGAGGUUAAAACCUAUGGCUCAACUGUAGGAAGUCUUUCGAGAUUACCUAACUAGAGGGUAGAAGAGGGAGAUGGAAUUUCCGGUGUAGCGGUGAAAUGCGUAGAUAUCGGGAAGAACGCCGGUGGUGAAGACGGUCUCCUGGGCUACACCUGACGCUGAGGCGCGAAAGCUAGGGGAGCGAACGGG
rnacentral:rRNA from 1 species